CGGAGAAGGAUGAGCACCCGAAGAUCUACCGCAUGAAGCUUUGGGCAACCAAUGAGGUCCGUGCCAAGUCCAAGUUCUGGUAACUAAUGGAGGUGCUUGUGAAUGCCGACUAAAGACGUGGUUGUUGGUGGUUUUGGUUGAUGGUGGUGGUUCUGGGUAGUAGCUAGUGGUGAUUGGUAGCAAUAACGAUUAUGGUGGAGGAUAGUGGUGGUGCAUGGUGAAUGUUAAUAAUGGUGGGUGGUGGCGAUGGUUGUGGUUGUGAUUGUGAUUGAGGAGAGUGAUGGUGGGUGGUGGUAGUUUAUAGUGGUGGUUGCUGAUGAUGAUGGGGUGAUUGGUUGUGGUAGUUGAGGUGGGUGAAUGUGUGGUUGUGGUUGGAUGAUGGUGGUGGUAGUUGAUGAUAGUUGGCGGUGAGAGUAAUGAAUGUGGAUGAUAGCAUCUCAAUGAAAUUAAGUCUUUGUUAUGGAUCUUAAUCAUACAGAUCUAUUCAGACUCAUUCAGUGGUUGUAAAGUAAAAAAACACACUUAAUAAUUAAGAUUUGAUUGAUUAAAACUUAAACUUUAAAAACAAACACUUAAUGUAUGAGAUCUGAAUGAUUAAGAUUCAGACUUCCAUUCAGUGCAAACAGAUGAGGCCUUAAUCUCCUUAACUUAGUUAAAACCCAAUAAUAAUAGACAACCAACAUAAUGAACCUAACUGAGCAAUUCUAACUUAUAUCUUUUCAUGACAAUUUUAGCAUAUGCUCAAAUAUAAUAAUAACCUACAAAAAAAAUAAAAAAUAACAUGAUAAGUGAAACUCCAUUUGAUCACGUCGAUGCAACUUCAUUUAGAACAAAAAAAAAGAAACAGAAAAUCGAGCAAAUACUAUUCAAGCAUCAACAAAAAAAAAUUGUAAAUCAAAGAAUGCAUAGAGUUAGAAUUGGACCUCAAAAAAUUGCAACUUUCAAUUCAUUUUUAUAUGGCUUCCAGCUUGAUUUACAGAGCAAAUGAAUGAUUGUUCUGAAAACUGCUCAAAGACCGAAACCGCCACUGGAGCUCGAACAGAAAAACCUCGCUUGGACCUCAAGCAGAAUCGUGUUGGGCGACCUCGACUCAACUCCCAACACUGCUGUUAUAUGCAUGAAAAGGGAGCUGUUUGGAGCUGCAUUUUGGAGCUAUUUCACGUAGGUUUGGUUUUGUAGUGGUUUAAGUGGCUGAUUUCUGGUGGUUUUGGGGCAGCGUUUUGGACUGUUUUGCAGCUGAUUUUUGCUGCUCUUUUUUGGCUGUUUCGCAGCUGAUUUCUGUUGCGUUUUGGGUGCUUUUCGGGGCUAUUUAACUGGAAAAGAGAGGCUGUUUUAAUGGUGGUUUAUGGUGGGUCGUAGCUGCUGGUUUUUAAUUAGUUUUCACGGAGUUUGUGGGUUUUAGACUGGUUUUUGGUGGUGAAGGAAGCUGGUUUACUGCCUGGAGUUUGGCUUGAUUUUUGUGGUAUUUUUUGGGCUCGUUUAAGCUUGUUUAAUGCUUAAAGAUUGAAGCUUUUUGCUCCGUUAAUGAUUGUUGGUUA